AAAUAUUUUUAUUUGGUAUUAUGUAUAGGUUGAUGAGACAGGAGUAGAGAAAAAAGAUAUCGAAUUAGUAGUGCAACAGGCAAACGUAUCAAGAUCAAAGGUAAAUAUAUUAACAGAAAAACGCCAAAUGUUCCUUGCAAAAUUAUAUCUUAUAUAUGGGUUAUAAUGAAGACCAAUUAUUUGUCAAUACGUUUACUUUUAGGCUGUAAAAGCUUUGAAAAACAACGGUAACGACAUCGUAAAUGCUAUAAUGGUUAGUAUCAAAACAAGUCUUCGAACAUAUUUCUUAAUUAUGUUUUUGUGCCAAUGCCCAAGGUAUUGCGACGAGUUGUAACUGCAAUCAGAAUGUUCAUUCCUCCAGCUUGUCUUUAAAUGUUUAUAUUUGUAUUUAUUAGGAGCUGACAAUGUGAUGACCUUGUUAGUUGCGCCGUUGCGGUGCGACUGGACACGAGCAACCGCGGAGAUCCUCGGCGACGUACUGGUUCAAAAUUCAUAUUCUGGAAAAAUGGACUGAAACGUUGUAAACAUUAUAUUAGGAAAUCAGAUCGUCUGUAAAUUUAGAAUCAUAAAAUGCUACAUUGUUUUUCGUAAGAAAAUGUUUGGUUUUCGUUUGAAUUGUUCAGUUGUGUUGGAUGUGAC